UGCGGUCCUAUUUUGUUGGUUUCUAGGAUCGCCGUAAUGAUUAAUAGGGAUAGUCGGGGGCAUCAGUAUUCAAUUGUCAGAGGUGAAAUUCUUGGAUUUAUUGAAGACUAACUACUGCGAAAGCAUUUGCCAAGGAUGUUUUCAUUAAUCAGUGAACGAAAGUUAGGGGAUCGAAGACGAUCAGAUACCGUCGUAGUCUUAACCGUAAACUAUGCCGACUAGGGAUCGGGCGAUGUUUCUAUCUUGACUCGCUCGGCACCUUACGAGAAAUCAAAGUUUUUGGGUUCUGGGGGGAGUAUGGUCGCNNGGCUGAAACUUAANGAAAUUGACGGAAGGGCACCACCAGGCGUGGAGCCUGCGGCUUAAUUUGACUCAACACGGGGAAACUCACCAGGUCCAGAUGAAAUAAGGAUUGACAGAUUGAGAGCUCUUUCCUGAUUUUUCAGGUGGUGGUGCAUGGCCGUUCUUAGUUGGUGGAGUGAUUUGUCUGCUUAAUUGCGAUAACGAACGAGACCUUAACCUGCUAAAUAGCCAGGCUAGCUUUGGCUGGUCGCCGGCUUCUUAGAGGGACUAUCGGCUCAAGCCGAUGGAAGUUUGAGGCAAUAACAGGUCUGUGAUGCCCUUAAAUGUUCUGGGCCGCACGCGCGCUACACUGACAGAGCCAACGAGUUCCCUCCUUGUCCGAAAGGUCUGGGUNAUCUUGUUUAACUCUGUCGUGCUGGGGAUANAACAUUGCAAU
rnacentral:rRNA from 1 species